rnacentral:snoRNA from 1 species
AAGGUUAUGCGUUCAGGGAUUAUUUCUGUAGUUGGUGAGUAGAGAAGGGUGGCUGUAAAAGGCUGGUCUUGCCAACCUUGAUGAGGAGCUUUGUUUCCUUCUGAGCAUGAGUGAGGUAGAAAGCACUGUUCUGUAGUAACUGUUUUCUGCUGUAGAUGAGUGUCUUGCUCUUCCUAGGAAGAGCAGGAGAAAAGAACACAGUCUGGGGU